CUUCUCAUCCAGAGGGAGGAGGUGGAGGCCUGGGAGAAGGGAGAUAGGGAGGGGGUCUCCUCUUUCAACAGCAGUCGCCAUCCCCCUGAAACGCUGCUCUUUGUGGCAUCUGGGAAGACCAGUGGCAAUGACGCAGGACUGGUCGAGUUCUGGGAUGGACUGAAUACUCUGUCAAGCCUUGAGCCUUAACACAGUCCCAUGAGGUCAGCACUGUGAUGAUCAUCGUUCUUACUGCACAACCAAGGAAAGUGAAGAAAGGACACCAGUUCUUCACCAUCCCUGCAGCAACCUCUCUCAUCUCAGCCUCCUGCCAAGGUUUCAGAUCUCAGGGAGACACAGGCUCAUUGGCACGCACCGACGAUCACUGAGCCAACUUUGGAAGUCGUGGAUUUCUGAGCCGGCCUUGCAUAGGGCAGGCACCUGCCUUUGGCUGAGUGGUGUGAAAGAUGUUGGCAGACUCCAGCUUUAGGUGGAGGAAGGCUUCUGUAGACAUGGCCCGGGUCCUCCCGCAGCCCUUGCAACCUGGAAGCAGGAGGUCGAGGGAUGGAGUGAGAGUAAGGGUGGCAGAAUUUCACCCUUACCUGGAGUCAGGAAGACCGAUGAGAGAAAAUGUGUGGACAAGGGUCAGGCCUAGCCCUGGGAAGCCCAGAAGCCAUCGGGAGAACUCUGGCACAGGUAGAGACUGGGAGAGGUAAGCUGUGUGGGGAGUCGGGGGCAUGGGAGGACCUGCACAGGGCAGAGGCCAUGCUGGGCACCCAUCUGCUCCUGCCCCUCCCCACUCAGCCUGGAUCUGUCCUUAGAUGCUUGCAACUUUGAUCUGAGUGGAGACAGAUGCUGCCCAUCCGGGACACAGACCCACCCCCAUUGUCCGUUAUCGCCAGCCCCUGGUCUCUGGGUGGGCAGUGCCUUGCGGAGUUGAAGCUGGC
rnacentral:lncRNA from 1 species